UACGGGAGGAGCGAGCAUUAUUCGGAAUGAUUAGGCGUAAAGGGUUUGUAGGUUGUUUUUUUAAGUUGAAAAAAAAAAAACUAAAGCUUAACUUUAUUUAUUUUUUUCAAAACUAAUAAACUAGAGUAUAAAUAGAGGAUAAUAGAAUUUUUAUUGGAGAGAUAAAAAUUUGUUGAUAAUAGAAGGAAUUUCAAAAGCGAAGGCAAUUAUCUGGGUAUAUACUGACACUGAGAAACGAAAGCUUGGGUAGCGAACGGG
rnacentral:rRNA from 1 species